rnacentral:rRNA from 1 species
UUAUUGCCAUUGGGAUCGGGACUGCUGUCUAUCAGCUUGUUCGAUGAGGUUAUGGCCCACCCACGUCGAUUACAGGUACUGGCCUCUGAGAGGAGAAGCCUGGAGAUGGGUACUGAGACACGGAUCCCAGGCCUUAUGGUGCGCAGCAGGCGAGAAACUUUAGCAAUGUGUGAAAGCACGACUGGGUCAGUCCGAGUGAUUCCUGAUAAAGGAGUCUUUUGCCUGUCCUAAAAACACAGGUGAAUAAGGGGUGGGCAAGUCUGGUGUCAGCCGCCGCGGUAAUACCAGCACCUCGAGUGGUCAGGACGUUUAUUGGGCCUAAAGCAUCCGUAGCCGGCGCUGCAAGUCUUCGGUUAAAUCCACCUGCUCAACAGAUGGGCUGCUGGAGAUACUACAGCGCUAGGGAGUGGGAGAGGCAGACGGUAUUCAGUGGGUAGGGGUAAAAUCCUUUGAUCCAUUGAGGACCACCAGUGGCGAAGGCGGUCUGCCAGAACACGUUCGCCGGUGAGGGAUGAAAGCUGGGGGAGCAAACCGGAUUAGAUACCCGGGUAGUCCCAGCUGUAAACGAUGCAAACUCGGUGAUGCAUUGGCUUAUGGCCA